rnacentral:rRNA from 1 species
GAUGAACGCUGGUUGCGUGCCUAAUACAUGCAAGUCGAGCGAACGGACGAGAAGCUUGCUUCUCUGAUGUUAGCGGCGGACGGGUGAGUAACACGUGGAUAACCUACCUAUAAGACUGGGAUAGCUUCGGGAAACCGGAGCUAAUACCGGAUAAUAUUUUGAACCGCAUGGUUCAAAAGUGAAAGACGGUCUUGCUGUCACUUAUAGAUGGAUCCGCGCUGCAUUAGCUAGUUGGUAAGGUAACGGCUUACCAAGGCAACGAUGCAUAGCCGACCUGAGAGGGUGAUCGGCCACACUGGAACUGAGACACGGUCCAGACUCCUACGGGAGGCAGCAGUAGGGAAUCUUCCGCAAUGGGCGAAAGCCUGACGGAGCAACGCCGCGUGAGUGAUGAAGGUCUUCGGAUCGUAAAACUCUGUUAUUAGGGAAGAACAUAUGUGUAAGUAACUGUGCACAUCUUGACGGUACCUAAUCAGAAAGCCACGGCUAACUACGUGCCAGCAGCCGCGGUAAUACGUAGGUGGCAAGCGUUAUCCGGAAUUAUUGGGCGUAAAGCGCGCGUAGGCGGUUUUUUAAGUCUGAUGUGAAAGCCCACGGCUCAACCGUGGAGGGUCAUUGGAAACUGGAAAACUUGAGUGCAGAAGAGGAAAGUGGAAUUCCAUGUGUAGCGGUGAAAUGCGCAGAGAUAUGGAGGAACACCAGUGGCGAAGGCGACUUUCUGGUCUGUAACUGACGCUGAUGUGCGAAAGCGUGGGGAUCAAACAGGAUUAGAUACCCUGGUAGUCCACGCCGUAAACGAUGAGUGCUAAGUGUUAGGGGGUUUCCGCCCCUUAGUGCUGCAGCUAACGCAUUAAGCACUCCGCCUGGGGAGUACGACCGCAAGGUUGAAACUCAAAGGAAUUGACGGGGACCCGCACAAGCGGUGGAGCAUGUGGUUUAAUUCGAAGCAACGCGAAGAACCUUACCAAAUCUUGACAUCCUUUGACAACUCUAGAGAUAGAGCCUUCCCCUUCGGGGGACAAAGUGACAGGUGGUGCAUGGUUGUCGUCAGCUCGUGUCGUGAGAUGUUGGGUUAAGUCCCGCAACGAGCGCAACCCUUAAGCUUAGUUGCCAUCAUUAAGUUGGGCACUCUAAGUUGACUGCCGGUGACAAACCGGAGGAAGGUGGGGAUGACGUCAAAUCAUCAUGCCCCUUAUGAUUUGGGCUACACACGUGCUACAAUGGACAAUACAAAGGGCAGCGAAACCGCGAGGUCAAGCAAAUCCCAUAAAGUUGUUCUCAGUUCGGAUUGUAGUCUGCAACUCGACUACAUGAAGCUGGAAUCGCUAGUAAUCGUAGAUCAGCAUGCUACGGUGAAUACGUUCCCGGGUCU